UACGUAGGGUGCAAGCGUUAAUCGGAAUUACUGGGCGUAAAGCGUGCGCAGGCGGUGAUGUAAGACAGUUGUGAAAUCCCCGGGCUCAACCUGGGAACUGCAUCUGUGACUGCAUCGCUGGAGUGCGGCAGAGGGGGAUGGAAUUCCGCGUGUAGCAGUGAAAUGCGUAGAUAUGCGGAGGAACACCGAUGGCGAAGGCAAUCCCCUGGGCCUGCACUGACGCUCAUGCACGAAAGCGUGGGGAGCAAACAGGAUUAGAAACCCUAGUAGUCC
rnacentral:rRNA from 1 species